CCUACGGGAUGCUGCAGUGGGGAAUAUUGCACAAUGGGGGAAACCCUGAUGCAGCGACGCCGCGUGAGUGAAGAAGUAUCUCGGUACGUAAAGCUCUAUCCGCAGGGAAGAAAAUGACGGUAACUGACUAAGAAGCCCCGGCUAACUACGUGCCAGCAGCCGCGGUAAUACGUAGGUGGCAAGCGUUAUCCGGAUUUACUGGGUGUAAAGGGAGCGUAGACGGCAGCACAAGUCUGGAGUGAAAUCCCAGGGCUUAACCCCGGACCUGCUUUGGAAACUGUGCGGCUGGAGUGCAGGAGGGGUAAGCGGAAUUCGUAGUGUAGCGGUGAAAUGCGUAGAUAUUAGGAGGAACACCGGUGGCGAAGGCGGCUUACUGGACUGUAACUGACGUUGAGGCUCGAAAGCGUGGGUAGCAAACAGGAUUAGAUACCCUUGUAGUC
rnacentral:rRNA from 1 species